AUUGUAGAGCUUUCUUCUGAUGAACCCAUGCAAGUUACUUACACAGAAGUUUCCUUCUAUGACUCUUUAAGUGUUCCUCCUGUAAUUUCCUUUCUGCAGUCACCUUUCUUCCUCCUCAGUUAUGUAGACAUUUCAAUCGAAGAAGCACUGGAUGAGGCUCCAGAGGCAGCAGUUGAAAGGAAUAGUCAGAGGAGCACUGGAAGAACGUGCCGUCAGCAAAUAUGGAGAUCCAACCUAGAUACUUGUAGCCUGCAAAUUUGUCUGCCUUCUGUAGACACUCACAUAGCUCCAGUCAGAGUAAAUUGUUUUACGUAUUUUUUCCUCAAAAGAAUCUUUUGAAGAAAAAUAUACUAUCUUCUCUGAUUGUUUCUUAUAAACAGUCCGUUAUCAGAGAUGGGGCAGAGGGAAGGGGUGUAAAACAAAUGUAUACAAUUGCCAUUUCCACUCUCCUAUGGGCUCAGGGUCGGUGUUGGGUGGGCUUAGAGGCUCCGCGCAGCCUUGCUGUUGCCUUGGCAAAGAAGUCGGUAGUGGCUCUGCAAACUCAGAGUUUGGAGGCGCUUGGAAAAGUGUAGGUGUUCCUGUGCAUCACCAAGUACGCAUCGUCAAUGGAGUUCCCAUUUCUUCUCAUUCUAAGAAUUUCUGCAAGUCCAGGAAAUAAGCUGUAUUUCACUGCAGUUUAUAUCUGGAUUUUUUUCAUCCUAAAGAUUAAGAGAUGAAGCAUUUCUGCAAUAAAAUUAAUCUUUGUAU